rnacentral:tRNA from 1 species
AGGGUAGUAGCGCAGCUGGUAGCGCACUUGGUUUGGGACCAAGUGGUCGUCGGUUCGAAUCCGGCCUACCCUA